CUAUAGAGCAGGACGUUGGCUGCGCUCUCGGCUCUCAGAGUAUCUCCAUCUCAACGUGGAGGAAUCUGGUGCCACCGAGAAUGGGGUGACAAUGGGAUCGCACACACGCAGAGGCAGAUGCCUGGACUGUGCGUGCUGAUUCCUGCUGGGCCCCUGGCUGAUUCUGCCACGCAAUGAAUGCGGCCCGCGUACCCACUCCCACUCGAGACCCUGAAGGACUGUGUGGAUGGAAAAGCUCAAACUCCGAGUCCAGAUCCUAACAGCUAAUGCUAUUGAGUACUUCCAUAUGCUGAUUACUGUGCAAGUUGCCUUCCACAUUAUUCCAUGGAAUCUUCACAGAAUCUCUACAGGUAAUCUCUAAUGAGGAAACUGAGGCAGGGAAGAUUAUGCAAGUUUCCCAAUGUCACACGACCAUCAAGGGGGAACUAAAACAUGACUAUUGGAAUUACAGGAGUGGAGGAAAAUCGAGGAGAUAUUUUGAAAGCCAAGGGCGAAUCUAGCAGACAUGUAGCAAAUUGACCUCUGUAACAAUCAAGGAGACAACAGAAGGAAAGUAAGCACUAAUUGGGCUCCAGUUCUGUCUCAAGAGCUCUGCUGGACUAGGUUGCCAUGGUUGGUAAAUAAAACACAGUCUUUGGGACCCUGA